UCGGAUCUGGGCGUAAGAGCUCGUAGGUGGUUUGUCGCGUUGUUCGUGAAAACUCACAGCUUAACUGUGGGCGUGCGGGCGAUACGGGCAGACUUGAGUACUGCAGAGGAGACUGGAAUUCCUGGUGUAGCGGUGGAAUGCGCAAAUAUCAGGAGGAACACCGGUGGCGAAGGCGGGUCUCUGGGCAGUAACUGACGCUGAGGAGCGAAAGCGUGGGGAGCGAACAGGAUUAGAUACCCUGGUAGUCCACGCCGUAAACGGUGGGUACUAGGUGUGGGUUCCUUCCUUGGGAUCCGUGCCGUAGCUAACGCAUUAAGUACCCCGCCUGGGGAGUACGGCCGCAAGGCUAAAACUCAAAAGAAUUGACGGGGGCCCGCACAAGCGGCGGAGCAUGUGGAUUAAUUCGAUGCAACGCGAAAAACCUUACCUGGGUUUGACAUGCACAGGACGCCGGCAGAAAUGCCGGUUCCCUUGUGGCCUGUGUGCAGGUGGUGCAUGGCUGUCUUCAGCUCGUGUCGGGAGAUGUUGGGUUAAGUCCCGCAACGAGCGCAACCCUUGUCCUAUGUUGCCAGCGGGUUAUGCCGGGGACUCGUACGAGACUGCCGGGGUCAACUCGGAGGAGGGUGGGGAUGACGUCAAGUCAUCCUGCCCCUUAUGUCCAGGCGCUUCACACAUGCUACAAUGGCC
rnacentral:rRNA from 1 species